GUACCACCAUCAACCAGCCAGUGCCUCACUAGGCCCCCUGUACCACCAUCAACCAGCCAGUGCCCCACUAGGCCCCCUGUACUACUUACCUCCACUGUCAAGUACCCACCGCCUGCCACUCUGCAACCUGGUGCAAUGUGUGGAAACCCUUCAGAAUCCAUUCAACCUUCAUCCCCCUCCUUCCAGUCAGACAGGCAUGAAUCUCAAGAAAUAACACAUCAAAUGACACUAUUCUACUGGACCUUACAAAAAACCCAUCAGCAACUUUAUUUUAGGAACAAAAUGGCUUUCUAUAAAAAAUUGCAAAACUCCUUCUCACAAAAGGGCUACAACUUAUCCAGUGAGAAAAUUAGGAAAAAAACUAGCAAACAUGUUGACCACUUAUAAAAGGGUAAAAGACAGGCGCCGUGCAACUGGGGAGGGGAAGAUCACCUGGGAGUACUAUACACUAAUGGAUGAGUUGUUUGGGUCAUCGGGAAUCGGUACCGCAUUACCAGGCACCAUUCACUCCACACCUCUGGGUUUGGAAGAGACCUCCUCCAAAAGUAGGCCCACAUCAUCUUCCCAAGACCAGCCAGCAGGGGCUAGUAUAGAUGAACAGUCCGGAACCUCUACCAUACCAAAUACAAGCAGGCAAAGACGAUCACAACAACCCUUACAAUUUCUGGAGGCUUAUGAAGAGCAUGCCGAGAGAAGGACUGCUGUGCUUGAGUCCCUGGUAAGGCCAGAUCUGGAGAGAUGGCGGCGACUUAAGGAGAGGCGCAGAAGGUCCUUUGAAAAAAAGAUGUUGACCA